AUUCAUCCUCUUCCACAAUUCUUUCUUCUUUCUCCUUCACGGAUCUGCACAUUCAUUACAUCGCUCGCAUUCUUUUUCUUUUUUUUUUUUUUCAUCAAAAGGCAUUGAAAUUCAGCUUGCUUCAGUGUCAAAAUUAAAAUUCUAUAGAGGAUUCGUCGUAUUUUCUGAUCUCUAUGCGUUUCAGUUUUCGUGAAUGAGAUGAGCACGGAUGUCGUUAGCGAUGUGGCGUCUCUUGACGUCGAAAUGUUGCAGCUGCAGGAGGUUUCUGCUUUUGCUCUCAAAACUAACGCCUAUUUCAUGGAGGCGCUCUUCGAACAAUGGUUAUCGCUUCCCGAAAGCAAUCGUUUGAUAACAUCAUUGCUAAAUGAUGCAAAGUCCGGUGCUCCCUUAAACGUGCCGGCGAAUAGCAAUAGUCCAAAUGCUUGCAAUAGUCCUUUGCCUUCCAUGUUUCCUGCAGGCACUGUUCCACCUCUUUCACCAAGAAGCACGUCUGGUUCCCCUCGCGUCGUGAAACAGAGAAUUGGUCCUUCUAAUUUGAGUUCUCCUCUGAAGGUUGUCAGUGAGCCAGUUAAAGAAUCCAUACCACAGUUCUAUUUUCAACAUGGACCUCCACCACCAAAUGACUUGAAAGAACAAUGCCUGUCUAGAAUUGAUCGGUUAUUCCGUGAUCACACAGAUGGGCUGCAGAUGCAUGAAUUCAAGCCUGUUACAAAGGAAGUUUGCAAGCUGCCAUCUUUUUUUUCCGCAGUUCUUUUCAAGAAGAUUGAUAAUGGAACUGGUGUUGUGACAAGAGAAGCAUUUAUUGAUUAUUGGAUUAAAGGCAACAUGUUGACCAAGGAUAUUGCAACUCAGAUGUACACAAUUUUAAAGCAACCACAGCUCAAUUACCUUACCAAGGAUGAUUUUAAACCCGUGCUACGUGAGCUUUUGGCAACCCAUCCAGGGCUAGAAUUCCUGCAGAGCACACCUGAGUUCCAAGAGAGAUAUGCUGAAACCGUCAUAUAUAGAAUAUAUUUCUACGUGAAUAGAUCGGCAAAUGGUCGUCUUACUCUGAGGGAGCUGAAGCGUGGAAGCAUAAUUGAUGCAAUGCUGCAUGCUGAUGAAGAAGACGAUAUCAAUAAGGUUUUAAGGUACUUCUCUUAUGAACAUUUCUAUGUUAUAUACUGCAAGUUUUGGGAGCUGGAUACAGAUCGCGAUUUCUUGAUAGACAAAGACAACCUUGUCAGAUAUAGUAAUCAUGCGCUCACCUAUCGAAUUGUCGAGAGAAUAUUUUCUCAGGUUCCAAGAAAGUUUACUAGUAAGGUUGAGGGAAAGAUGUGUUAUGAAGAUUUUGUUUACUUCAUACUGGCAGAAGAGGAUAAACCAUCUGAGCCAAGCCUUGAAUAUUGGUUCAAGUGCAUUGAUUUGGAUGGAAAUGGAGUUCUGACACGGAAUGAACUGCAAUAUUUUUAUGAGGAGCAAUUGCAUCGAGUGGAGUGCAUGGCCCAAGAGCGUGUGCUAUUUGAGGAUAUAUUGUGCCAAAUACUUGACAUGAUUGGACCUGAGGAUAAGACUUAUAUAACUCUGCGUGACCUGAAAGGUCGUAAACUCUCAGGACAUAUUUUCAAUAUCCUGUUCAAUAUAAAUAAGUUCAUGGCCUUUGAAACUCGUGACGCAUAUUUGAUUCGCCAGGAACGUGAGAAUCCAACACUAACGGAGUGGGAUCGUUUUGCUCAUAGAGAAUAUAUUAGGCUUUCAAUGGAAGAAGAUGUAGAAGAUGCCUCUAAUGGAAGUGCAGAAGUAUGGGAUGAAUCAAUGGAGGCCCCCAACUGAUAUUUUUUAGUUUAGCGGGCUCGCUCAAAUGAAUUGGAGCUUGAAUGGACUAGUUCAAAUUUUGAUUGCCAAUCACACUUGUUUUAUCAAGUUAUUCCGACUAACGUUCCUUUUUGACAUCAGAAUAUCAUGUAGCUAUGCAUCAACAUAAUUUAAUGCCCAAUAAUGGAAGGACUCGCCAUUUGUUCGAAGACACUAGACUCGGAUCAAUUUUAAAGUGUGUCCUUCAAAUUUAGCCACGAGAAUGGAACAUUCCCAGCUUCUCUAAUAACUACGGAAUGUGUCUUUGAUUGAGGGGCACACAGGCACAGCAGCAACAACAUUGGAAUCAUGAUCGGGGAAGUUUUGUAGCUUGUACUAAUGAGUCUAUGUUAAAGUGAGGGCUGGUUUGCUAAGAGGUGAUUAACCAAGUUGAAUUAAAUUGACAUAGUUUAGUAUGCUUACCAUUAUUAGGGAGAUUUUCUGAUGGAUAAGUUUGUAGUUUACUUUUCGGUGGAGACCAAUUUUGCAGUUUUGCCUCGAAUGUGUCUUAAGAUUUCAGUUUUUUGUAGCCUAUGAUUCAGACAACCCUUCAGCAAAUAAUGUAUUUCUCCCCACCUUUUUCAGACCAAUUGAAGGAUUAUGUAAUGCUACUUGCUAGUUGCUACAUAAGAUCCAUUCUGCAUUAUUAGAUUUGUCUUUCAGGAUGCAUGCAGAGCAUUUAAGUUGACAUUGGAUUUUGUUUUUAUCUUGCGUUUUCUUCGAAGAAAACGUUGUUUCAUUUUCGAAUAAUAUCCUUUUAUUAAUAAU